AAAGCUCCCUUCGGGGAGUGAAUAAAGUGGCGCACGGGUGAGUAACACGUAAGUAAUCUACCUUCGAGUGGGGAAUAACCCGGGGAAACCCGAGCUAAUACCGCAUAAUGCAGCGGCACCUAAUGGUGACAGUUGUUAAAGGAGCAAUCCGCUUGAAGAGGAGCUUGCGGCAGAUUAGCUUGUUGGUAAGGUAACGGCUUACCAAGGCUACGAUCUGUAUCCGGUCUAAGAGGACGGUCGGACACACUGACACUGAAUAACGGGUCAGACUCCUACGGGAGGCAGCAGUCGGGAAUUUUGGGCAAUGGGGGAAACCCUGACCCAGCAACGCCGCGUGAAGGAUGAAGUAUUUCGGUAUGUAAACUUCGAAAGAAUAGGAAGAAUUAAUGACGGUACUAUUUAUAAGGUCCGGCUAACUACGUGCCAGCAGCCGCGGUAAUACGUAGGGACCAAGCGUUGUUCGGAUUUACUGGGCGUAAAGGGCGCGUAGGCGGCGCGGUAAGUCACUUGUGAAAUCUCUGAGCUUAACUCAGAACGGCCAAGUGAUACUGCAGUGCUAGAGUGUGGAAGGGGCAAUCGGAAUUCUUGGUGUAGCGGUGAAAUGCGUAGAUAUCAAGAGGAACACCUGAGGUGAAGACGGGUUGCUGGGCCAACACUGACGCUGAUGCGCGAAAGCCAGGGGAGCAAACGGGAUUAGAUACCCCGGUAGUCCUGGCCCUAAACGAUGAAUACUUGGUGUCUGGAGUUUUAAUGCUCCGGGUGCCGUCGCUAACGUUUUUAGUAUUCCGCCUGGGGAGUACGCUCGCAAGAGUGAAACUC
rnacentral:rRNA from 1 species